rnacentral:rRNA from 1 species
UUGACCUCGGAUCAGGUAGGGAUACCCGCUGAACUUAAGCAUAUCAAUAAGCGGAGGAAAAGAAACCAACAGGGAUUGCCCUAGUAACGGCGAGUGAAGCGGCAACAGCUCAAAUUUGAAAUCUGGCUCUUUCAGAGUCCGAGUUGUAAUUUGCAGAGGGCGCUUUGGCUUUGGCAGCGGUCCAAGUUCCUUGGAACAGGACGUCA